UCUACACUUUUUUCCCACACGAGGCUCUUCUGGUACUUACACAAUGGUCCGGCUUCUCAUUUGGUUUAUAUAGGAUAGGAUUGGAUUGAACCAUGUCAUCUACAACAUUGCUCUUUGAGAUCUCCUUUGAUCUAAACUGCGC